AUUGAACGCUGGCGGAAUGCUUUACACAUGCAAGUCGAACGGCAGCACGGGGGCAACCCUGGUUGCGAGUGGCGAACGGGUGAGUAAUACAUCGGAACGUGCCCGGUCGUGGGGGAUAACGUAGCGAAAGUUACGCUAAUACCGCAUACGAUCUGAGGAUGAAAGCGGGGGACCUUCGGUCCUCGCGCGAUCGGAGCGGCCGAUGUCAGAUUAGGUAGUUGGUGGGGUAAAGGCCUACCAAGCCGACGAUCUGUAGCUGGUCUGAGAGGACGACCAGCCACACUGGGACUGAGACACGGCCCAGACUCCUACGGGAGGCAGCAGUGGGGAAUUUUGGACAAUGGGCGCAAGCCUGAUCCAGCCAUGCCGCGUGCAGGACGAAGGCCUUCGGGUUGUAAACUGCUUUUGUAUGGAACGAAAAGGCUCUGGCUAAUACCUGGGGCUCAUGACGGUACCGUAAGAAUAAGCACCGGCUAACUACGUG
rnacentral:rRNA from 1 species